rnacentral:misc_RNA from 1 species
GAAAUGCGAUAAGUAAUGUGAAUUGCAGAAUUCCGUGAAUCAUCGAAUCUUUGAACGCACAUUGCGCCCUCUGGCAUUCCGGGGGGGCAUGCCUGUCCGAGCGUCAUUACGCACCCUCAAGCCCGGCUUGUGUGAUGGGCCCCGGCGUCUCGUUCGCGAGACGGGCCCGAAAGGCAGCGGCGGCGUCGACCCGAUGAGCCCGAGCGUAUGGGGACUUCUGUCACACGUUCGCGGUGCGGACCGGCGCCUGCUUUGACUUUUCUGAUUAUCCAGGUUGACCUCGGAUCAGGUAGGGAUACCCGCUGAACUUAAGC